GCAAAGUAAAAUAAAACAGCCCUUUAUUUUUCCAGGUCUUUAAGAUAAAAUCUUUAACAAAGUAGUUCUAGAAUGCUUUACAUUCCAUUCUGGGUUGGAAUCAGUAUGAGAGGGAGAAUAGUGGAGGUUGAGAUUUGAAGAGUAAGAUAGGAGGACAUUUUUUCAUAUUGAAUCUUGUCAACCAUUGAAUGGUCUAGUGCAAAGGAAAGAUUGAACAUGCAGGAGAGAGGAGAACGAUUACUGGAGUGAUUUCCUUGAGUGGGUGACAGUAUUGGGAUUUAAAGCACAACUGGGGGAGCUGGUCAUGAUUAGCAAUUCCAGUUUUCCAUUCGCCACUUGUUUUUACAAAAUGAUGUAGAGACAACAUACAAUAAAAUAUUCAAUAAACAUAGAGACUAGACUCCUGCAUAGAAACUGACACCAUGAGAAAACAAGAUUUGACAGUGUGUUAGCAAGAAAUGGAUCUUUGUCAGCUGAUGGCUGGAACAGUUACCAAGAGUCUAGCCCUGUUGCCCAGGCUGGAAUGCAGUGGAGCAAUCUUGGCUCACUGCAACCUCUGCCUCCCUGGAUCAAGCAAUUCUCCUACCCCAGCC